GUACUAUCUGGAAAAUAAAAUAAAAAAAAGAACAAAAAAUAGUUCAAAAAAAACAACACAUUAUUUCCAAGACAAAGACCCAAUAUUAGUACGUAUCUAUACAUUUAUACGUACAUAUUUUUCUGUGUGUGUUAAAAUACACACCCCGUUUUUUUCUGUAAGAUCUACAAAACCCAUGAACAAUCUCGACUUUGUUGAUGGUUGACCAAAUGAAACGGUGCUCCAUCCUAACAUCGGCAUUGUCACCGAAGAAAUUAGAAGCUGGUGCAACAGAUAAAUGAAAACCAAAGGGAAAACAAACAAACAAUCAACCACACAAACAAACAAAGCAGACACACACAACAAUAAGAACAACAAGACACACUCACACACACACACACAGCAAGAAUGUCAGAGUAGAGUUGGAAGUGGGAGUGUCUGUGAAGGAGUGGGAGUGCAGUGGAGUUUCUGGUGAAUGAAGACCCCCCUUUCCGAUCAUGGGAAGAGUGCUGGGUGGGUGCAUACGAACCUGCCACACGGAAAGCGUGGCAGUUGGGGUGGGUGCGUAGGAUCGUGACUGACGGGAGUCGGCGUUGCUUUCUCAGGCGCCUUUGAACCCAAGUGUGAUUGAUUGACACGGAGUUGCUUACUUGAUGUGCAGUGUUUCACCCCCCCUACAAAGGUGUGAGAUGUUGACUGAUUCGUGAUGACCAGCAUCGAUUUCCAGGUUCAGAUUUGACGUGCAUCGUUCCUCACUGACACUUGGGUCGGGGUCGGGUCGGGUCGACUCGGGUGAAUAGGAUUGUGAGUAGCCCGCCUGAUUUCUCGCCGACUGCCAUUCUCCGAUCCCAUCUUUCGCUACCCCCAGAGAUGGCAGGUUGUUGGAUAGUUGGGAACGACGUUGUGGGCCCCAUAGACUGAUUCCGGACCUUAGAAUCAGAUUGGCGACGUCUACAUUGGAGAUUAUGUGAGGCAUUUGGUGGGCAUCUUGGUGGGCACUUGGUGGGCACUUUGUGGGCACUUUGUGGGCACUUGGUGGGCAUCGAGGUAGUUUGACCUUGUAUUCUCUUGCACUAAUAAGCAGUGCAGCCAAGAUCGCGUGCUAGUGGUGGAUCAUGCCAGAUGAACACGGACGGCCUAUUCUGAGAGCGAUUUCGGGAAUCCCAUGGCUUUGGUGUGAAAAUCAGGACUAUAAUUGGAUGAACACAGUGUCACCAGAGAAUAAAAACCGAUUAAGGCAACUCCUUAAGUCAAGAUGGUUUGGGAAAGUGUUCGUCCAUACCUUCGCAUGUGUGUGCGACGAUCUCCCUCUCCUGAACCGAGCGAUUACACCUUUAUGCAAAUGCUGGGCCAUGGCAAGCCUGACAUGCGGCUCCUCCAUAGUGAGAGAAACAGAAUCUUAAAGAGGUACCACUUCAUUUGGAUUCCAACAAUGGUGUUAUGCUGGACCGCUAUGAACUAAGCCUUUUUCUCGAAGAGAGCUACCAUAUCUUUCUCAUGUGGCACGAGACCCCUUUUGACCCUUAAAUCUCUCAUGGCAACAUGCUUUGCGCUUCCGGCAGCCAUGGCUUGCUGCAAGUCCAUAAGCCUCACAUUCUCUAGUCAAGUCUUCACUGCUCGUAUCAUCGAUGAUUAGAUACAUCCUAAAAUCAUCUCUUCUACAACUUCAAUUCAUAGUCGACUGAGAAGUUCCAAACACGAUCCUCGAUUCUAAACUGUUUCCAUUCAGAAGAAUUCCACACCAUGAGCCACUCCCUCUUCCUCCAGGAAAACUAUGCAGAAUGCCAUUAAUUGUGUCAAAUCCACUCUGACUUCAGGAUCCACCGUCAAUGACGAGUGUUUAUGCAGAGGUUUAGGGUUUCGACCAAUUCUCUUCCAAAAUCUCUGUUCAACAUGUUGAUUAAUUCCUUAACUGUUUUCUGGAUUUGUAUCAA